rnacentral:lncRNA from 1 species
CUCAUCUUCAGACUUUCAUAAGUGGGACUAAGAAAUUGGACAAUAUUUUGGGAAUGAAUAAGCCUGCAGGAGAUAGGAAAGGUCUAGGAUACGUUGAGGGGUUACACAUGUUACUAGACCAUCUAAAACUGUGUUUGUUUCUGCCUCUAAGAAAGCUAAUGCUGUCGGCAGUUCAAAAAAGGGUAAGAAUGUUCCGAGAGAACAGAGUCAUCAAUCACGUAGGAACUUCAAUCCCAGAUACCCACAGACACGUACCUUUGAGCCUAGGUUCAUUCCAACCUAUCACCACUGUGGAGCUCUAGGACACACUAGGCCUAGAUGUUAUAAGUUAGGCAAUGAGCGUAGAAAUCAUAACAUUCCUAGUCAGGUUAGC